UCUCCCAUAGCUCAGUUGGUUAGAGCGUGCGACUGUUAAUCGCGAGGUCACCGGUUCGAACCCGGUUGGGAGAG
rnacentral:tRNA from 1 species